rnacentral:rRNA from 1 species
UUAGUGGCGGACGGGUGAGUAACGCGUGGGUAACCUGCCUCACACUGGGGGAUAACAGUUAGAAAUAGCUGCUAAUACCGCAUAAGCGCACAGUUCCGCAUGGAACAGCGUGAAAAACUCCGGUGGUGUGAGAUGGACCCGCGUCUGAUUAGCCAGUUGGCGGGGUAACGGCCCACCAAAGCGACGAUCAGUAGCCGGCCUGAGAGGGUGAACCGGCCACAUUGGGACUGAGACACGGCCCAAACUCCUACGGGAGGCAGCAUG